rnacentral:rRNA from 1 species
ACGCUGGCGGCAGGCUUAACACGUGCAAGUCGAACGGUAACAGGGAUUAGCUUGCUAAUCUGCUGACGAGUGGCGGACGGGUGAGUAAUGCUUGGGAAUCUGGCUUAUGGAGGGGGAUAACUACGGGAAACUGUGGCUAAUACCGCGUAAAAUCUUCGGAUUAAAGGGUGGGACUUUCGAGCCACCUGCCAUAAGAUGAGCCCAAGUGGGAUUAGGUAGUUGGUUAGGUAAAGGCUGACCAAGCCGACGAUCUCUAGCUGGUCUGAGAGGAUGACCAGCCACACUGGAACUGAGACACGGUCCAGACUCCUACGGGAGGCAGCAGUGGGGAAUAUUGCACAAUGGGGGGAACCCUGAUGCAGCCAUACCGCGUGAAUGAAGAAGGCCUUCGGGUUGUAAAGUUCUUUCGGUGACGAGGAAGGUUGGUAGGUUAAUAGCCUAUCAAAUUGACGUUAAACACAGAAGAAGCACCGGCUAACUCCGUGCCAGCAGCCGCGGUAAUACGGGGGGUGCGAGCGUUAAUCGGAAUAACUGGGCGUAAAGGGCACGCAGGCGGUGACUUAAGUGAGAUGUGAAAGCCCCGAGCUUAACUUGGGAAUUGCAUUUCAUACUGGGUCGCUAGAGUACUUUAGGGAGGAGUAGAAUUCCACGUGUAGCGGUGAAAUGCGUAGAGAUGUGGAGGAAUACCGAAGGCGAAGGCAGCCCCUUGGGAAUGUACUGACGCUCAUGUGCGAAAGCGUGGGGAGCAAACAGGAUUAGAUACCCUGGUAGUCCACGCUGUAAACGAUGUCGAUUUGGGGAUUGGGCUUUGAGCUUGGUGCCCGUAGCUAACGUGAUAAAUCGACCGCCUGGGGAGUACGGCCGCAAGGUUAAAACUCAAAUGAAUUGACGGGGGCCCGCACAAGCGG